GAUGAACGCUAGCGGCAGGCUUAAUACAUGCAAGUCGAGGGGCAACAGGGGUAGCAAUACCUGCUGGCGACCGGCAAACGGGUGUGGAACACGUACAGAACCUUCCUCUGAGUGGGGGAUAGCCCGGAGAAAUCCGGAUUAAUACCCCAUAGUAUUAUUGUGUGGCAUCACAUAAUAAUUAAAGAUUUAUUGCUUAGAGAUGGCUGUGCGGCUGAUUAGGUAGUUGGCGGGGAAAGCCCACCAAGCCGGCGAUCAGUAACUGGUGUGAGAGCACGACCAGUCACACGGGCACUGAGACACGGGCCCGACUCCUACGGGAGGCAGCAGUAAGGAAUAUUGGUCAAUGGACGCAAGUCUG
rnacentral:rRNA from 1 species